rnacentral:lncRNA from 1 species
GGGUCUGACAUUUUUUUUUUUGGGAAAAUUUUAAACACCCCUGUAGUUUUUCAGUUUUUUAAUUUUAGUACCAUAUGAUUUAAAAUAUAUCAAGUUAGUUUCUUGUGGUUUCGCACUUUCUCAUUUUAGUACUAUGUGGUUUAAAGUGUAUCAAAUUAGUACUCUGUGAUUUUAUUUUUGUAUCAAGUUAGUACCAUGUGGUUUUAUUUUUGUAUCAAAUUAGUACCAUGUGGUUUUAUUUUUGUAUCAAAUUAGUACCCUGUGGUUUUUAAACCACAGAAGUACUAAAGUGAGAAAGUGCGAAAUCAUAGGGUACUAAAGUAAGAAAGUGUGAAACCACAGAGUACUAACUUGAUGCACUUUAAACCACAGGGUACUAAAGUGAGAAAGUGCAAAAUCACAGGGUACUAAUUUGAUACAUUUUAAACCACAAGAUACUAAAGUGAGAAGGAGUGAAAUCACAAGAGGGGUAUUUGAAGUUUUCCCUUUUUUUUUGCAUUUUAAUUUAUUAUAAUUUUUUUAUUUUAAAUUAUAUAAUUUUAUAAUUAAGUUCAUUAAAUGAUGACGUUACAGAUUUUAAUUG